rnacentral:rRNA from 1 species
UACGGAGGGUGCAAGCGUUAAUCGGAAUUACUGGGCGUAAAGCGUGCGCAGGCGGUUUGUUAAGUCCGCUGUGAAAUCCCCGGGCUUAACCUGGGAACUGCAUUCGUGACUGCAAGGCUAGAGUAUGGCAGAGGGGGGUAGAAUUCCACGUGUAGCAGUGAAAUGCGUAGAGAUGUGGAGGAAUACCGAUGGCGAAGGCAGCCCCCUGGGCCAAUACUGACGCUCAUGCACGAAAGCGUGGGGAGCAAACAGG